UACGGGGGGGGCAAGCGUUGUUCGGAAUUACUGGGGGUAAAGGGCUCGUAGGCGGCCAACUAAGUCGGAUGUGAAAUCCCCAGGCUUAACCUGGGAACUGCAUCCGAUACUGGAUGGCUUGAAUCCGGGAGAGGGAUGCAGAAUUCCAGGUGUAGCGGUGAAAUGCGUAGAUAUCUGGAGGAAUACCGGUGGCGAAGGCGGCAUCCUGGACCGGCAUUGACGCUGAUGAGCGAAAGCUAGGGGAGCAAACGGG
rnacentral:rRNA from 1 species